rnacentral:rRNA from 1 species
AUUGAACGCUGGCGGCAGGCCUAACACAUGCAAGUCGAGCGGAGCGGCGGAAGGGUGAGUAAUGCAUGGGAAUCAGCCUGGUCGUGGGGGAUAAAGUCCGGAAACGGGCGCUAAUAACGCAUAGUAUCAGAAGGGCCUAGGUCGGAAUAGCUCGUUGGUGGGGUAAAGGCAUACCAAGGCGACGAUCCGUAACUGGCCUGAGAGGAUGAUCAGUUACACGUGAACUGAGACACGGUCCAGACUCCUACGGUAGGCAGCAGUGGUGAAUAUUGGACAAUGGGCGAAAGCCUGAUCCAGCCAUGCCGCGUGUUUGAAGAAGGUCUUCGGAUUGUAAAGCACUUUAAGUUGGGAGGCGUUACCAACAGAAUAAGCACCGGCUAACUUCGUGCCAGCAGCCGCGGUAAUUC